UGCCCUCGAGUGGGGGAUAACCCCGGGAAACCGGGGCUAAUACCGCAUAUUGUCUUAGCAUCGCAUGAUGCUAAGAUGAAAGCCUUUGGGCGCUCGAGGAGGGGCCUGCGUCGGAUUAGCUAGUUGGUGGGGUAAUGGCCCACCAAGGCGACGAUCCGUAGCUGGUCUGAGAGGACGGCCAGCCACACUGGCACUGAGACACGGGCCAGACUCCUACGGGAGGCAGCAGUGGGGAAUCUUGGGCAAUGGGCGAAAGCCUGACCCAGCCACGCCGCGUGGAGGAUGAAGCCCCUCGGGGUGUAAACUCCUUUUCUGGGGGAAGAAAUCCCGGCUGUUGUCGGGACUGACGGUACCCCAGGAAUAAGCGCCGGCUAACUCCGUGCCAGCAGCCGCGGUAAUACGGAGGGCGCAAGCGUUGCCCGGAAUCACUG
rnacentral:rRNA from 1 species